AGCUCCAAUAGCGUAUAUUAAAGUUGUUGCAGUUAAAAAGCUCGUAGUUGGAUUUCUGUUCGCGACGUUCGGUCCGCUUGCGUAAGCGAGUGUGUACUUGUAAUGUUGUGUUCAUUUUUUGUGAGAGAUCUUGUCUGGCAUUAGUUUGUUGGGCUUGGAAUCUUGCAUCGUUUACUGUGAAAAAAUUAGAGUGUUUAAAGCAGGCCGUAUGGCAUUAUUUGAAUACAUUAGCAUGGAAUAAUAAGAUACGACUUUGGUGGUCUAUUUUGUUGGUUUGCACGCCAGAGUAAUGAUUAAUAGGGUCAGUUGGGGGUAUUUAUAUUUCAUUGUCAGAGGUGAAAUUCUUGGAUCAAUGAAAGAUAAACUAAUGCGAAAGCAUUUACCAAGAAUGUUUUCAUUA
rnacentral:rRNA from 1 species